AGAAUUGAUCUGGUCAGAUUGAACGCUGGCGGCGUGCCUAACACGUGCAAGUCGAACGAGAAAGUCCCUCGGGGGCGAGUACAGUGGCGCACGGGUGAGUAACGCGUGGAUAAUCUACCCAAAGGUCUGGAAUAGCAGUUGGAAACGACUGAUAAUACCAGAUGUACUGGCAACGGGAAAGGUGGCCUCUGCUUGCAAGCUACUGCCUUUGGAUGAGUCCGCGUCUCAUUAGCUAGACGGUAGGGUAACGGCCUACCGUGGCAACGAUGAGUAGCAGGCCUGAGAGGGUGGCCUGCCACACUGGGACUGGAACACGGCCCAGACUCCUACGGGAGGCAGCAGUGGGGAAUAUUGCGCAAUGGGGGAAACCCUGACGCAGCGACGCCGCGUGGAGGAUUGAAGGCUUUCGGGUCGUAAACUCCUGUCAAGAGGGAAGAAACCUGUGAAGAGUAACAUGCUUCGCAAUUGACGGUACCUCUAGAGGAAGCACCGGCUAAUUCCGUGCCAGCCGCCGC
rnacentral:rRNA from 1 species